rnacentral:rRNA from 1 species
GAGUUUGAACCUGGCUCAGGAUGAACGCUGGCGGCGUGCCUAACACAUGCAAGUCGAACGGAUCCAUAUUGAAACCUAGUGAUGUAUGGAUUAGUGGCGGACGGGUGAGUAACGCGUGGAUAACCUGCCGUAUACAGGGGGAUAACACUUAGAAAUAGGUGCUAAUACCGCAUAAGCGCACGGUUCCGCAUGGAACAGUGUGAAAAACUCCGGUGGUAUACGAUGGAUCCGCGUCUGAUUAGCCAGUUGGCGGGGUAACGGCCCACCAAAGCGACGAUCAGUAGCCGGCCUGAGAGGGUGAACGGCCACAUUGGGACUGAGACACGGCCCAAACUCCUACGGGAGGCAGCAGUGGGGAAUAUUGCACAAUGGGGGAAACCCUGAUGCAGCGACGCCGCGUGAGUGAAGAAGUAUUUCGGUACGUAAAGCUCUAUCAGCAGGGAAGAAAAUGACGGUACCUGACUAAGAAGCCCCGGCUA